rnacentral:rRNA from 1 species
UACGGAGGAUGCGAGCGUUAUCCGGAUUUAUUGGGUUUAAAGGGUGCGUAGGCGGGUUAUCAAGUCAGCGGUAAAAUCGUGGAGCUCAACUCCAUCCAGCCGUUGAAACUGAUGAACUUGAGUGGGCGAGAAGUAUGCGGAAUGCGUGGUGUAGCGGUGAAAUGCAUAGAUAUCGCGCAGAACUCCGAUUGCGAAGGCAGCAUACCGGCGCCCGACUGACGCUGAAGCACGAAAGCGUGGGUAUCGAACAGG